rnacentral:rRNA from 1 species
AGCAGCCGCGGUAAUUCCAGCUCCAAUAGCGUAUAUUAAAGUUGUUGCAGUUAAAAAGCUCGUAGUUGAAUUUCGGGAUUGACACAUCGGUCGUGCCUUAAGGGGUAUGAACUGGUGUAGUCAAUUUCUCACCUUCUGGAGAACCGCGAUGUCCUUAAUUGGGUGCCGCGAGGAACCAGGACCUUUACUUUGAAAAAAUUAGAGUGUUUAAAGCAGGCAUUUUUGCUUGAAUACAUUAGCAUGGAAUAAUAAAAUAGGACGGCAUGAUUCUAUUUUGUUGGUUUCUAGGAUCACCGUAAUGAUUAAUAGGGAUAGUUGGGGGCAUUAGUAUUCAAUUGUCAGAGGUGAAAUUCUUGGAUUUAUUGAAGACUAACUACUGCGAAAGCAUUUGCCAAGGAUGUUUUCAUUAAUCAAGAACGAAAGUUAGGGGAUCGAAGACGAUCAGAUACCGUCGUAGUCUUAACCAUAAACUAUGCCGACUAGGAAUCAGACGAUGUAAUUUUUUAAUGACUCGUUUGGC